GAUGAACGCUGGCGGCGUGCCUAAUACAUGCAAGUCGAGCGAACAGAUGAGAAGCUUGCUUCCCUGAUGUUAGCGGCGGACGGGUGAGUAACACGUGGGUAACCUACCUAUAAGACUGGGAUAACUCCGGGAAACCGGGGCUAAUACCGGAUAAUAUUUUGAACCGCAUGGUUCAAUAGUGAAAGACGGUUUCGGCUGUCACUUAUAGAUGGACCCGCGCCGCAUUAGCGAGUUGGUAAGGUAACGGCUUACCAAGGCGACGAUACGUAGCCGACCUGAGAGGGAGAUCGGCCACACUGGAACUGAGACACGGUCCAGACUCCUACGGGAGGCAGCAGUAGGGAAUCUUCCGCAAUGGGCGAAAGCCUGACGGAGCAACGCCGCGUGAGUGAUGAAGGUCUUCGGAUCGUAAAACUCUGUUGUUAGGGAAGAAGAAAUUUGUUAGUAACUGAACGAGUCUUGACGGUACCUAACCAGAAAGCCACGGCUAACUACGUGCCAGCCGCCGCAGUAA
rnacentral:rRNA from 1 species